AGAAUCCUUGAACAUUCCGCCAUUCAUUUCAAUGGGGCCCAAAAACGCCGAAAAACGGGAAUACCGCGAAAACUACAAGGGCCAGCGCCACGAAAGUAACAAGCAAGUUACACCGGUUCGGGCCUGAAUUUUUGAAGUUCAAACUGCGUCGAUAGCUCAAACGGUCUAGG